rnacentral:rRNA from 1 species
UACGUAGGGUGCGAGCGUUGUCCGGAAUUAUUGGGCGUAAAGGGCUCGUAGGCGGUCUGUUGCGUCGGGAGUGAAAACUCAGGGCUUAACCCUGAGCCUGCUUCCGAUACGGGCAGACUAGAGGUAUGCAGGGGAGAACGGAAUUCCUGGUGUAGCGGUGAAAUGCGCAGAUAUCAGGAGGAACACCGGUGGCGAAGGCGGUUCUCUGGGCCUUACCUGACGCUGAGGAGCGAAAGCGUGGGGAGCGAACAGG